CAAUAGCGUAUAUUUAAGUUGUUGCAGUUAAAAAGCUCGUAGUUGGAUUUCGGGUGGGACCUGCCGGUCCGUCGUUGCGAUGUGCACUGGCCGGUCCCAUCUUGUUGUCGGGGACCAGCUCCUGGGCUUCACUGUCCGGGACUGGGAGCCGACGAAGUUACUUUGAGUAAAUUAGAGUGUUCAAAGCAAGCCUACGCUCUGAAUAUAUUAGCAUGGAAUAACACGAUAGGACUCUGGCUUAUCUUGUUGGUCUGUGAGACCAGAGUAAUGAUUAAGAGGGACAGUCGGGGACAUUCGUAUUUCAUUGUCAGAGGUGAAAUUCUUGGAUUUAUGAAAGACGAACUUCUGCGAAAGCAUUUGCCAAGGAUGUUUUCAUUAA
rnacentral:rRNA from 1 species